GCCUGCGGUGUAAAACCGAUGAGGAAACUAAGUCCCAGUGGAUUGUUUAAUUCCACAGAGCUGGUCAGCAGGGAAAACCCAACCUGUGACCUUUGUUAUUGGAGAUAACCUGAGAAAGUGCCAUGGAGUAUGAGAGAGGUUACCUCACUUCCAAGACAGCAGUGAGGACCAUUAUAUGGAUAUGCCAAGAAGAUGCAUUUGACUUCAUUAAUUACUCAAAAGAAAAGAAUAUUGAGAACCCAGACUUGUGAGGAAGAGAUUGUGGAGGGAGGAAUUGACAUAAUGCAUUCAUAUCCAGAUCUGAAGACUUGGAAUGGAUGGGAAUGUUUUGAGUAA